rnacentral:rRNA from 1 species
AGUGAACGCUGGCGGUAGGCCUAACACAUGCGAGUCGAACGGCAGCACAGUAAGAGCUUGCUCUUACGGGUGGCGAGUGGCGGACGGGUGAGGAAUACAUCGGAAUCUACUUUUUCGUGGGGGAUAACGUAGGGAAACUUACGCUAAUACCGCAUACGACCUACGGGUGAAAGCAGGGGAUCUUCGGACCUUGCGCGAUUGAAUGAGCCGAUGUCGGAUUAGCUAGUUGGCGGGGUAAAGGCCCACCAAGGCGACGAUCCGUAGCUGGUCUGAGAGGAUGAUCAGCCACACUGGAACUGAGACACGGUCCAGACUCCUACGGGAGGCAGCAGUGGGGAAUAUUGGACAAUGGGCGCAAGCCUGAUCCAGCCAUACCGCGUGAGUGAUGAAGGCCUUCGGGUUGUAAAGCCCUUUUGUUGGGAAAGAAAAGCAGCAGGUUAAUACCCCGCUGUUCUGACGGUACCCAAAGAAUAAGCACCGGCUAACUUCGUG